rnacentral:rRNA from 1 species
CUACGGGGUGCUCCAGUGAGGAAUAUUGGACAAUGGAGGCAACUCUGAUCCAGCCAUGCCGCGUGCAGGAAGACGGCCCUAUGGGUUGUAAACUGCUUUUAUACGGGAAGAAACCCAACUACGUGUAGUUGGCUGACGGUACCGUAAGAAUAAGCACCGGCUGACUCCGUGCCAGCAGCCGCGGUAAUACGGAGGGCGCAAGCGUUAUCCGGAAUCAUUGGGUUUAAAGGGUCCGUAGGCGGACUGAUAAGUCAGGGGUGAAAUCCAACAGCUUAACUGUUGAACUGCCUUUGAUACUGUUAGUCUUGAAUUAUAUGGAAGUAGAUAGAAUGUGUAGUGUAGCGGUGAAAUGCUUAGAGAUUACACAGAAUACCGAUUGCGAAGGCAGUCUACUACGUAUAUAUUGACGCUAAUGGACGAAAGCGUGGGGAGCGAACAGGAUUAGAUACCCCAGUAGUC